AAACGAAGUCAUUAGCUUCGGAAAGAACACGGGGCGAAUCCAGGACAAGACUUUACGCCGAAAACUUUUAUUUCCCUGCUGGUUCCGGGACUGGCUGUCUGGUAAAAGCAGUGGAGACGGCGGCAGAGCGCGAGGCGUUUAUCGUAGGCAAGCCCAACCGGUACAUGUUCGAUUGCGUGGUCAGUGAGUUCAACAUUGAUCCUGCUCGUACCAUCAUGGUGGGAGAUCGACUGGACACGGAUAUCCUCAUGGGCAACAACUGCGGCCUCACGACGCUGCUGACUCUCACGGGAGUCACUACGCUGGAAGAAGUGAAAGGUCACCAGGAGAGUGACUGUCCUGCCAGGCAAAGCCUGGUUCCCGAUUACUAUGUUGAUAGUAUAGCUGACCUUCUUCCAGCACUGGGGGAUUAAAAUAGCAAAACCCUUACAGCCUUUGAAGCGGUACCCUGAUGCGGGCCCUAAUUAAUCACCUUGUGACAGUAAUGUGCUCAGUAUACCACCAGAAAUUGGCAACCCUUAGCUUUUUAACCUUUCUGUCCUCUCUGUAUGAUUUUUGUUUACAUCUUGGUGUUCUAAAAUGCACUUUGAAAUGAAGAGGGCAUUAUGGUGUUACUCAAGUCUUCUGUUAUUGUAACUAAUACAUAUAUCUAAACGUGUGUGAUACUAGAUGUUAUUGUCUUCUAGACUGAGUUGAGGAAAGUAGAGCAGAGUGAUCUGAGGAAAGGAACCCAACAACUUGUAGUAUGUCCUCUCAUGGACAGGCUGUAACUCAGUCUUGUUUAUUCAGGGAAAUAACUCUUUGAGCGUGUAGUUACUCAGUGGCUGUCUUUGGAAACGCUUGCAGUGGCUGAUGUAACUAGAAUUUGGCCUUAGGUUGUUUUUUUCAGAUAGGGUCCCAUUCUAGCAGUGCAGCCUGUUGCAGGUGCGACUUCAGGUCAAAGAAACUUAAAUCGGUCUCCUUUAUUUGACCAUAAAAAUUGCACUUGUGAUGCAGAUUAGAAUGAUUCCACAUGCAAAAUGCGGAUGGCAUCUUCUGUAUACUGUAUUUGUCCAAGUAUUGGAUGUAUUUGUAAAGUACACGUACAUACAAGAACUAUCCUGAUCCUAAAUAUAUAUCAGAAUAUAUUUAAAAUAUAAACUUAAGUAUAAUAUAUGAUAAUAUAUCUUGCUUCCCAAAAGGGAGGAUAAGAGGAAUGUACUUCACUGAUCACUAUAGGUUUAAUUCUUGUAAGCUUUUGCAUUUGGUAAUGCAGAAAGUAUGUAAUCACAUAGGACGGUCAUGCACUAAUACUGCUUCCCAGAAAUAUCUGGAUUGAUUAGACAUCAAGUUAGUUCUAAAUUUUCUUAGGCUUCCCUGCUGCCUCAGCGUCAAAAUAAUUGCUUGCCUUGGCUUUAUUGGUAGGAUAGGAAUUGGGGCUCAGUCUACAAGGGAUGAAUAUAAUACACAGUGCUGCUUCUCACCGAAGUAAGCCUGUACUGCUCAAGUAUGAUAACAGCACAGUGCUUCCUUUAAAUACCUGCUUGUAACUUCUUCCUUGUGUGUCUGAUGUCGGGGCCUGGCAACAGUCACUUGUCCGAAAAAAGAGUGCCUGCUCAGGUGAUUAUUUUAUUUUCCUCUUUAGAUAGGUUUUGAGUGAUGCGCAGCUCAGGCUAUGGGAUAGAUUUUUAUGCUGGCUGAAUUGAAGGCCAUAGUUCAAAGCUUUUGUAUUAUGAAAUUAAGUGAAAAGUUAAAUAUGCAAAUACUGUAUUGUUACUCCAUAGAUUCCACUACAGGCAAUUUAAAUUCAAACACUGACCUUUCUUCCUCUCCCAUUGUUUAGCUGAAUAGCUCUAGUAGUGUGUUCGAUGCCAUUUCCUCCCACUCAGACACCAGAAAUAAGUAAACUUGCCACCUUGUUUGUAUAGCAAUAACUGCAGUUUGUAAUGUCUUUCAGUGUUACCAGAAUACUAUCUGGAUCUUGUAAAAGACUGUUCAUUUGUAACUCAGAGUUGUGUAAGGAAGCAUGAGUAGUAUCUUUCCUAUUUGUGUCUCCACCUAGGCGGCUUGCGGAAGUCACAGAGAAAUACUUACCAGAUAGGACUUUUACUUUACCUAAGUAACAUAGAAAUAGACAGUGCAUUUGCUGCGGUUAGGGCUAACUUCGCAAUGCAUUCUUUGAUUCACUUCCUAGAUUUGGUGCUUAUAAUUUCAAAACAUGUCAAGUAAAGGAGUAAAUUCCAGGUGAGGUGGUCAGUCUUGUCGAAGCAGCACGUUCUCCCUGUUGAGAACUGUUCACUGUACGAGGGAACUGUUACCUCGAUUCACUGUUCUCCACGUGUACCGAAAUGUAUUGGUGAAGGUGUCAGUUGUGCUUCAAAAGUCUCUGUAUCAACUUCCCAGUCAUUUUCGACCCUCUACUUGAUUUCACAUUAAACUUACAAACCUGCUUUCCCUUGCA